CCCAAACAAGACUCGCAGAGGUAUUUCCACCAGCAGCAGGGAAUAAAUGAGAAGGGAUUUCAGGAGGGGGAAGAUUACUAGGGGCUGGUUUCAUUUUAACAAGGCAGCCCUCCCUCCAGCUAACGGGAGGGGGCGUGGCGUGCCCUGCUCUAGAGAGCCCCACAACCACCUGUUUCCGCUCAUUCUUUGCUACCUAGGAGAGGAGACUGCAUGGGGUCGGGGAAGAGUAAGGGAUUCUGGCAUUUUCUUCCGUUCCCUCUCUCCCCUGGCGGAUAAUGAACUAUUUUAGCUCCACUAGAGCACCCAGGACUCUAGGGAAGUUUAGAAGGAAUGCAAGCUAAAUAUGUUGCUAACAUGUCAUGACUGCCCUUCAUGAGACAGGGAAACUAGAGUGGUAUGACUGUGCAGAGCAGCACUGUUAGCACUCCUGAAUAUUACUAUUGCAGUACUAGCUCUAGACUAGAGGCUAACCAGGCUAGGACCCCAUUGUGCUAGGUGCUGCACAAACAUAUAGCAAAUGGCAGUCCCUACUCCAAUAUCUUAUGAAUCUGAAAGGCUAAAUGGAGGAGGUGGCUAUGGCAGGUAAUAGGAUGGAAACAUUUUUGCUUUGAUCAUGAUUCAACUUAUGUCCAGGACAUAAGGGUCAGAGUCCAAAUUAGUUUCCUUUCCCAUAAUAGGCUAUUUAUUAAUAAGAAAUAAAAAAUAUAUUGAAAGAUCAGAGAGGGAGGUUGACGCUUCCUCUGAGGCUGCUGUCUGGAUUUAUUAGUCAUGUGGUCUAUGCUGUGGUCAGUUCUAGUAAGUGUCUUUGUUCCUGUCGUAUGGCAGAUAAGUCUUUUGCUGGUAUGGUGGCGUGUACAUGCUGAGGGUGUGAGAGUUUUUAUUGCUAUGCAGGAUCUUGUCUGUAUUAGCAGCAAACAGCUUUUGUUUAUCAAAAGGGAGAUCCUCCACCUUUCUUUGAAGCUCCCUGAGCACACCUCCUACAUGCAACCAGGAGGCUCUCCUCACCACUGCUGGUGAGCUACUAUCUAUUGCUGAUAGUAGUGCUGUGCAGGCGAUGGUGUGCCUCUCACAAAUUAUUGUCCUGAGGAUGGAUCUUUUGGAGGUGCUCCAUGAGCUCAGCAAGCUUGGAGUAAUCAUCAAAGUCAUGGCUGGCUAGCAAUGCAGAGUAGUUUGCAAUUCUGAGCUGCAGGGUGGCAGAGAAAUAUAUAUUUUUUUGCCAGAUAGAGCUAGUUAUUUAUAUUCUUUGUCACUGGUUGCUGACCUAAGUUGAGGAGCUUGUGAAUGUUGAUUCACUGCAUCCACCACCAAAGAUGUGUCUGAUACCUCCAUUAUUGCUUCAUCAAUUGUUAAUGCAAUCCUUCCCUGAGAGGAGGGAUAGGUGUUCUUUAGGAGACGGUGCUGUUUCUCCUUUACUUCAUGGAUCUGAACUUCCUGAGUAGUGGUCCCUCUUAAAAAGUUCCUGAGAUUGUUUCAGGUCAUCAGUAGAAUGGGUAUCUUCAGGUAUUACUGCCUCAUCAGGAGAUAAGGAUGAACUUUUCCUCGAGGAAAGCUACGGGGCUCGUGUAACAAUGUGCUCAUUGAGAAUUGAUCCUCCUUGUUGUCUUCGGAUUCAGCGGUAUUCAGAAGGGUAUGGGAUAGGGAGGCUGGUGGAAGCCUCUUUGGUGACACAGAUGGGCCUGUAGAGUGGCAUCUGCAAGGUCUCCAAUAGUCCCAUGGGGCCCACUGGGGUGGAUAAUGGGGCAGACAAUUGGGAGGUGAAAAAUGUCAGUCAGGGUACCACUGUGGGUGGUAAGGUCCCUCUCGGUAAUGGUGAAAAUGACAAGAUGUAGUAGGAGAGGAGUGUUGUGAGGAGAAGGUGUUCCUCUGAUUAUGUGUCAGCUACUCCAGCAUUUUUGUGUAACAACGGAGACAUAAUGUAGCCUGGAACUCGAUAGGGAGAGCAUAGCAAAGGUUGAGCAUUCUCAACAUCAGCUGUGUGAAUGCCCUCAAGUUGGCCAGUGUGAUUAUGCAGCACCGGCACAGCUGCCGAGUCUGGCGGGGGAGGCAUUUGCACUGAUAUUAGCACAUCAGAAGGCAGUGCUGAAGACUUGUGGGGCUGUGACAGAUGGUUCCCCGCUCUUUCUCAGUGCUGGGUGUUGUGGUGCCACUUGCGGCAGUGCCGGGGUUCGCCAUCAUGAUCUCUCUGGUGCCAACGAUGAACGAUCCAGCUUGGAGUGAGCAUGGGGUGCCAUUCUAGCAACUCUUGUUAAAAUUCUUGGCACCAAGUUGUCUGUGGUGCCUGGCGAGUCUCCACUGGCUUGAUGGGGGGGAGUGGUCAGGGACAACGACCUCACCAGGGAGACCCUCGCCUUGAGAUAUUUGUGAGGUGUGGGAGACACAGAUCCGUGUUUCCACAGAUCCCCUGGAGUCAAAGAGGGCUGAGACCCUUCUGAGGCCUGCAGAGCCCACUUGAAAAGAAUCAUAUGGCGCCAAAGCUCCUGGUCUUUUGUAGCCCUUGUCAUAAGGCUCUGGCAGUGAUCACAUUUUUUGAGGGUAUGCGGCUCCCCCAAACAGCGUAUACAGGCAUCAUGCCUGUCCAAAGCCGGCAUGGGGUCAUUACACUGAUGGCACUUCUACGAUGCCCGGUUCUCAGGGCUUUAAGCAGUGCUUUUCUUUUUUUUUUCCCCUCUGUCUGUGAUUGAGGGUGGUUAGCGAGGAACUGAAAGGGGGAGCAGGAUUGCAUAUGAAUGGUGGCAAACCGCCAACAGCACGAGCUGCCUUCAGUGAAUGUGCGGUCCAGCUAAUAGCUGUUAAGAAAAACUCUGAACUGUGGUUCCGGGGAUGACCUGUCACCAACAGAGGAGCACCCACAGGGACAUCACCCGAAGAAGAACAUUCCAUAAUAAGUCAACAAAUCUGAUGGGGCUUUUGCAUAUUUCAGUUUGUGGAUUGGGCUUCGAUAAAAGAGCCAGCAUUGUAGUGUGGAUGUCUUAGACCUGGUCUACCCUGGCAUGUUUUGUCACCAAAACGUAUCUUUUGUUGACAAAACAGUGAAAGCAUUUACAAUCCAAUGGCACUUUUGUCGAGGAAAACACCCACACUCUGUUACUUGAGAGACAUAGUAACUUGAACAAUUUAGUAGAUUGAGGUUCUGAAUGGUGUUACAUGCCUUUGCCCCAGAAGUGAGACCCGUCUGGCACUCCAUAUCUCUAUCACUGGCAAUUGAAUGAAUAACCAGAGACCAGAUAUGUUUAAAUCAAAGGUAAGUAUACUGUAAAUUUAGAAACACAGCCCCAAACGCUUGAUAUUGAACACAUCCAUCCACACCCCAAAUAAAUACAAGAAUAAAGAAUAAUCCCAGUACAAUAAAGAAAUACUUUGCAGUUGAUGGUGAGGUAAGUGAUGCCUAGGAUCUACAACCCUAGAGCUAACUAGUAGCUUUUCGGGAGGAACUCUAGGUAAUCCCACGCUGAUUAAGUCAACAAGUUAAUAGUGGACAAGAAAACAGUUCUCAGUUCCAGCCUUGAGCUUUCGCAACAAGCAGCUGAGCCCGUCCUGAAGGCUUCUCCUCUACUCUUUCUCAUCUGGGUAUUCACCACAAACUCGGUUGAUGAGGUAGAAGAUGCCUAAGAUGGUUCUCCGUGGGGAAGGUGAGAUUCAACAGGCUCUAGUUGGUGUAACUCAAAUGCUUCACCCAGCCUUCACUAGAGCUAGCACUGAGGAACACCACAGAGACCCAAAUCUUCCCACCACACCACUGACCACGAGGGAUAGUGAUGAUCAACAAAGAACAAGAGCCCCCAAAGCAGCAGACUUAUAAAGUUUGUUUGACGGGAAAAUGGGAAUGGUGCCGUGUGCAAUUCUGCUUGGUGCUGAGUGCAGCCAAUGGAUGAGUGGUGCUGAGUGCAAACCUUGAGAUGGUAUGCUAAUUAGUCCUUUAGCAGGCAAAGCCUGUUUAGCCAUGUCGCACUGUCCAUUGCAUUGGCUAUCAUGGCAUCUCAAAUUAACUCCCAACACAGUUUUGGUGACAAAAACCUUCCACCUCUGUGAGAGAUUUUUGUCUUUUCCCCUCUUUUUAUUGUCAAGAAAGAACCAGUGUGGACUCUGCUGUUUCUUUUGUCAAAAGAACUGGCUUCCAUCAGUAUCCCACAGUGCCUGCGCUGAUGGCUGUGUUCAGUGUUUUGUGAUUUCUGCUACCCUGCAGGCAUGUGCUCCACCCCUUUCAAAACUUUGGGAAGUAUCUGACAGCUGACUGAGCUGCUUCAUUUUGGGAACAAAGAACAAAUCAUUGGAGAGCUUCUAUUCUUCCCUGCACUAGGAAUACAGUGACAGGCACACUGCUGCUACAGUGGGAAGGGCGGAGAGAUUUCUGUGCUGCUUUGACAUUCCUCAGUACAGAGAGCUCACAGAGCUAUAAGGGAAUCCCAAAAGGCACAGGGAUCAGCUCUGCCUUCCCACACAUUGCUUUGCUCUUAUGUGUCACAGGUGCUAGCAAUGUGGCCAUGAGAUGUCGACAAGGGGAGGCAGAAAAACUGGUUUGACUGAUUUUUGCUUUUGGCAGCUUUUGCAUGUUGACAGCACUUUUGUCCCCAAACCUUCCCAGUGUAGACAUAGUCUCAGAGGAGACCAUCCAGCUAACAAAGAGCACAAGAAAAUUUGCAAAUACUAUAUACCUAAUGUGCUGAUUAUAUCACACAGGAGAUUUUUGACAAGCCAGAAAAGGGAAAAUAACCUAGUAAAGGAAUUCCUUCUUGUUUAUGUCUUCCCACUCUGAAGUGAGCAGAUAGUCCGUUGGUUAUCUGAAACAAAUCCUCCCCCGCAGGCAACCAGCUUUAAAAAUACUUGCCCUGAGCUAGACUGUAGUGGAAUGGCACUAGUGAAAUAGACAUGAAGAAAGAGAAAGCUGACUGCGCAUAUCCUACAGUUCAUAGUACUUUCCUUUUUCUAGGCAUGUCAGAUCAACUGAAGCGACUUUGCUACAUCUGAGAUCCAUUAGAAACGUAUGUUUCUUGCUUUACAACUUCAGAGGAAUAUAAUUCUGUCUGAGGCACUGAAGAAACUGGUUGUAACCAAGGAGUAUGCAUACGUCACUCAUGAUGCACAUAAUGAAGAUGUAAUCAGGGGCCACAUGAGCUCUCCUGACAUCUAUGAAUUAGGGGCAGGAGAGCCAACAGGCCAAUGUAGGGGGAGGGGGAGCAGCUCUGUCCUCCUAGAAGGUGCAUGGCCUCAGCCAGAAGGGGUGGGGCUGGGGCAGUCAGCUCCAAGUGCUACCCAAAUAGUGCAAUGCCCCUUGCCAGCCCUCAGAGCCUGCCAGAGCAUAUGGCAUAUCUGGAGCAUGCUUUGUGCUGAUUCCUUUGGAAUCGCGAGGCCCUGGGGCAAUUGCUCCCUUUGUAUCUCCUGCUCCCCCAUCUGCAGGCCUAGCUGGGAGGAAAAGACUUCAGGAACAGACCAUAUUUGCAUAAAUACACCCAAAGAGCUUAGGUAGACAGCAGAGAGUGCGGCUUUGCAAAAUGAUCAGUUUUGGCUGGUAGUGGGUUACAGGUCACUUUAGUUGCUGAAUGCCAGAGUGAUGAAAUGUUAUCUUGAUUUUUAUGAGUGAAGGACAGUGGAACUGUACUUAGUCUUUCCUGACUGAGGGACUCCUUAAUCUGCUGGGAUGCCAAAUCUCAGAGAGAGAGAGAGAGCAAGCGAGCUGUUCCUACAGGGUGGUGGGGGCUCUGUCGAAGGAGUCCUAGCUACCAUUUGACCCUCCUCUUUUCACUGUUUGAAGACAGAGCUGAUCAGACCCACUGGAGAGAGUCCUUGUUUUAUUCAGUGAUUACUAGAAUGGAAGCCACUGGCAACCUGCUGUGAGACAGUUGCAAUGAAACAGCCUGCACUAGCAGCAAGGUGCCCCACUACCCCCUGAAAUCACUGGGUGGCUCAUGGCAUCUGCCUCAACCAUUCUAUGGAUGGAUCUAGGGAAUUACCUGGGGGCCUGGUGCAAGGCAGCAGCAGGGGUUGCUCUCCCCCACCCCCGCACUCAGCAGCAGGAGCCACAGCAAUCCAGCAGCCUGCUCCAGUCUGCCCUGCCACCCUCACCAGGCCCACUGUGCUUGGCUUCCUUGUGAUGGGAAGAAGAGGGAAGGUGUGGAGUGGGGGCAGAGUUGGGCGAGGCCUGUGCUGGGAGUUGUCCCGUGCCGUGUGCCUGGAGGGAUUGCCCCAGGCCCCGCACCCUUUCUAGGAACGGCCCUGCUGAGAACUGGGUCAAGUAGGGGCUCCUCAGAACAUGGUGUCACAGCAGAGAGACAGCAAGAGCAGUGUGGUGGUAGAGUGAACAGUAGCAGCAGAGUGAACGGCACGGCAGCAUUCAGUAUCAAGCAUUGUUAGGGUAAUUUCACAUGGUCAUAUGCCUUCGUGGCUGUGGUGUUUUCCCAUGUUAAUGCUGGGUUCCUUUAUAUUAAACGUUUUCUUUGCUAUAUCCAGACUCAGCACUUGAGAGUGAAGUAUUGCCUCUUACAGGUGCCUGUGUGUGUGAUAGUGAACCUAGCCCUUCAUUAGGCAGAAGGGUUACAAAGAACCCCUUAUUCUCCAUGUUGCGGCCUUUGUCCAAGACCUCUCUUAGGGUACGUCUAGAUUACAGGCUUUUGUUGACAGAAGUUUUGUCGACAGAUACUGUUGACAAAGCUUCUGUCAACAAAGAGCAUCUAGACGACAUCCAGGUCUGUCAACAAAGCAAGCUGCUUUGUCGACAUGACAGUUUAGACGCAAAGAACAGUGUAGAUGCAAUAAUGCCUUCUGUCGACAGAACUCUGUCGACAAAAGGCGUUAUUCCUCAUAGAAUGAGGUUUACAGCCGUCGACAAAACUGCUGAGUUCUGUCAACGUUAUGUCGACAGAACUCAGCGGCAGUGUAGAUGCAGGUAUAGUUUUGUCGACAAAAGUCCACUUUUGUUGACAAACCCCUGUAGUCUAGACACACCCUUAGUUGUACUCCAAAAAAUCCUUGUGCUACUAAAUUAAUUUUUGCUUGUGAGAAUGGGGGUUGGGGACAGAGAGUCCAUUUUCUGGACAUCUCAUUCAUUCAGUUAGCUGAAAUUUUUGGCACUUUGAGUGCAGAAAGUUGGGGCCUGGAAGACUGGGGAACAGCCUUGACACUGCUAUAUGUAGGUUUCAAACUGGCAAAUAUGCUGACACUCUCUCUGCAGACCAUAUGUUAAAGUUAGAUUUAAAUCGUUCCAUCUUUCCACAAACUGGUCCAACAUUUCAUGCUACUGGGAUGAAAUUAUUAAUAUAACCCACUAGCAGAUUCCCUUCCUUCCUCUUGGUAAAUCCUCAUACUUAUUAUAAAGAGUUAAACUCAAAGGAUCAAAUAUUCAAAAGUGUAACCAGAAUGCUACACUUACUCUUUGUGCAAAAUCCCACAUCUGCAAAUGGCCAAACAAAAUUGUGGUGAGCACUGAUAUUUCUGUACUUGCAGCUUUGGGGUUUCAUUGCCACACAUACAUUUUUGAGCAUAAAACAGUUGAAUCCAUAUUUCAAAGCUUGCAUCAGAAAGCGUCAUAGGCAUUACGUACACUUCAAAUGAAUUGUAAUAGUAAUAGUCCUGUAUUUUGCUUCAAAUGAAUUGAAACUCUUUGCUAAUCUAGUUUGCCUAUGUUUUUUUCUAAUUCUACAGCUUCUGCUGCAACAAAGUUAACAAAUAAUAUUACUGUGAGCCAGAUCCUGUGCAGAACACUGGGGUGGCUUCAAGGAGCCAAUCUUUUUGCCUGAGAACUGCUCUAACUUGCACCAGCAGGCAAAGGACUGGGUUCCAACUUAAUAUAGCCAGGGCACAGCUUUUGGCCACUACAUCUACCUACCUCUUGACUUCCCAUCAAAGCCAAUUGAGAGAGGGCUCCAGGAAGGUUGGCUUGGGAGCUGGCUAACAUGACCACACCCAUGAGAGACUCCCCUUACAUGGAGGGUAUCCCAGCAAAGGAGAUAGGGCUAAAUUCCAUCCUUAUGGGGUUUUAUGAGAAACCUGAAUGGGGUAGGGCAGACCAUAAAAUCUGGCUCCACUUGUUUUCACAGUUCCUGGUUUAAUAAACACUGCAGUCAGAUGGUUUGUCUUUCCUGCAACUGUGGAUUUAGGCUUGAAAGAACAUUUCAAAAGUUAUGAAUAUUUUCACUCUUCUCUUCUUUCUAAAAGCUUGAUAUCCAAAUCAAGAUAUAUUUAACCAAAACUAUAGGAAUGAUCAACAGCUGACAUUUUCUCCAGUUUAUUAUAAUAAACACCCUGAUUAGUCAUACAAAUAACAGGUGUGCAUAUUUUGUAAUCUGCAGCCU